UUUCCACAUUUGUCUUUUGAAACGUAAUUGAUUAUUGUUUUUUUUGUGUUCUUGUCCGUCGAAUGAUUUAUUUGUCCAGAAUUAGUCAAGUAUGAAAUUAUGUCAGACAUUCUACUAUUUCUCUAUUCUGAUUUCAAGUCGUAUUCUGUGAGCCAAUCCCGAAAUUCAUAAGUGAUUCAACUUAGGAUCCCAAUUUUGUGUCACUAUGCCAACUUUAUUGGACUACAUGAACCUGU
rnacentral:lncRNA from 1 species